rnacentral:rRNA from 1 species
UGAACGCUGGCUGUGUGCCUAAUACAUGCAUGUCGAGCGAUGAUAGCAAUAUCAUAGCGGCGAAUGGGUGAGUAAACACGUACUCAACGUACCUUUUAGAUUGGGAUAGCGGAUGGAAACAUCCCGAUAAUACCGAAUACUUAUUAUUUUUGCAUGAAAGUAAUAUAAAAGGAAGCGUUUGCUUCGCUAAAAGAUCGGAGUGCGCAACAUUAGCUAGUUGGUGAGGUAACGGCCCACCAAGGCGAUGAUGUUUAGCGGGGUUGAGAGAUUGAUCCGCCACACUGGGACUGAGAUACGGCCCAGACUCCUACGGGAGGCAGCAGUAGGGAAUAUUCCACAAUGGACGAAAGUCUGAUGGAGCGACACAGCGUGCAGGAUGAAGGCCCUAUGGGUUGUAAACUGCUGUGGUUAGGGAAGAAAAAGUAGCAUAGGAAAUGAUGCUACCUUGACGGUACCUGAUUAGAAAGCAACGGCUAACUAUGUGCCAGCAGCCGCGGUAAUACAUAGGUUGCAAGCGUUAUCCGAAAUUAUUGGGCGUAAAGCGUCUGUAGGUUGUUUGUUAAGUCUGGCGUUAAAUUUUGGGGCUCAACCCCAAAACGCGUUGGAUACUGGCAGACUAGAGUUAUGUAGAGGUUAGCGGAAUUCCUUGUGAAGCGGUGAAAUGCGUAGAUAUAAGGAAGAACAUCAAUAUGGCGAAGGCAGCUAACUGGGCAUACACUGACACUGAGAGACGAAAGCGUGGGGAGCAAACAGGAUUAGAUACCCUGGUAGUCCACGCCCUAAACGAUGAUCAUUAGUUGAUGGGGAACUCAUCGACGCAGCUAACGCAUUAAAUGAUCCGCCUGAGUAGUACGUUCGCAAGAAUAAAACUUAAAGGAAUUGACGGGGAUCCGCACAAGCGGUGGAGCAUGUGGUUUAAUUUGAUGUUACGCGUAGAACCUUACCCACUCUUGACAUCUUCUGCAAAGCUAUGGAGACAUAGUG